GCCGGGGUGGUAGAGUGGUAAAACACGCGGCCAUGGUCCUCCAUAGUCCUCCUAAAAACGAGGAGACGCCAGUUCAAAUCUGGCCCCCGGCA